GAUGAACGCUGGCGGCGUGCCUAAUACAUGCAAGUCGAGCGAACAGACGCGGAGCUUGCUCCUCUGACGUUAGCGGCGGACGGGUGAGUAACACGUGGAUAACCUACCUAUAAGACUGGGAUAACUUCGGGAAACCGGAGCUAAUACCGGAGAAUACAUUGAACCGCAUGGUUCAAUAGUGAGAGACGGUGUUGCUGGAUCUUAUAGAUGGAUAUGCGCCGCAUUAGAUAGUCGGUAAGUUAACGGCUUACCAAGGCAACGAUGCGUAGCCGACCUGAGAGACUGAUAGCCCACCCGAGAGCGUAGACAGCGACCAGGCGCCUGAGGGAGGCCGCAGUAGGGAAUCGUACGCAGUGGUCGAGAACUUGGCGGAGUGACGCGGAGUGAGAGACGAAGAUCUUCGGUUCGGGAAACUCGGUUAUUAGGGAAGAACAAAUGUGUACGGAGACGUACCCUGCGUGACGGUACCUGGUCAGGAAGCCACGGCUAACUACGUG
rnacentral:rRNA from 1 species